GUGAUUUUCGUCGCUCUUCUAGCAAAAGAGGUUUAUUUUGUUAUUCAGAAAUGAAGUCUUUGAUUAAUUCAUCACUCAGUGUCACGCAAGUGGAAAGCAGACUCGGGCAAAAAAUGAGCUAAUUUCAAAUGUCAAAGUGGGAAGAUUCACUCAGUACAGCUUGAAUUUAAAACGGAUGACUCUGACUAGAACGAAAACUAGCAACAAACAAGUCAAUCGUAGGAGAUUUAUCGUCAAGUGUUGCGGUUACUCAAAAUGCUAUAGUGAAGGAAAUGUGUCAAAGAAAU